rnacentral:rRNA from 1 species
GCCCAAAAUCUAGCCCACUUAAUUUCCUAUACAUUCUUAUUCUUUACUUCUCGAUAACAAAACAUUUUAACAACUUAGUACAGGCGAUCGAAAAAUUUCUUGGCGCUUUAGACAAAGUACCGCAAGGGAACGAUGAAAUAGUAAUGAAAUAAUACUAAAGCCUUAAACAGCAGAGCUUAUCUCUCGUACCUUUUGCAUCAUGGUCUAGCUAGUCUACCCAGGCAAAGUGAAAGCUUUAGUCUGACCCCCCGAAACUAAGCGAGCUACUUCAAAACAGCCUAAGGGCCAACCCUUCUCUGUUGCAAAAGAGUGGGAAGAUUUUCAAGUAGAGGCGAAAAACCUAUCGAGCUUAGAGAUAGCUGGUUGUUCAAGAAAAGAGUUUAAGCUCUACCUUAAGUAUAUUUAUAAUACCAAGUUAUUCACCAGACUUAAGAGCUAUUCAAAUAAGGCACAGCUUAUUUGAAACAGAACACAACCUCCAACACUGGGUUAAUACAGGUUACUAAAAUCAAGUGGGCCUAAAAGCAGCCACCUUAUAGAAAGCGUUAAAGCUCAACUAUAUAUUACCUUAAAUUUCAAAAUCUAUCUUCAACCCUUCAUUACUACUGAACUACUUUAUAUUAUUAUAAAAAAAAUUAUGCUAGAACUAGUAACAAGAAUUAGCCCUUCUCCAAAAUGUAAGCUUAAGCCAAAAUGGACAUCCCAUUGGCAAUUAACGCAAAUGUAAUUAUUAUAGUAACACACACUAGUAAACCCUAUAACAACUAGCGUCAACCUAACACUAGAACAUUUCAGGAAAGAUUAAAAGAGAAAGAAGGAACUCGGCAAAUCUCAGCCCCGCCUGUUUACCAAAAACAUCGCCUCUUGUUUAAAUAUAAGAGGUCCAGCCUGCCCAGUGACAUAAUUCAACGGCCGCGGUACCCUAACCGUGCGAAGGUAGCAUAAUCACUUGUUCUUUAAAUAAGGACUUGUAUCAACGGCAUCACGAGGGCUGUACUGUCUCCUUUCUCCAAUCAGUGAAACUGAUCUCCCCGUGAAGAAGCGGGGAUUAACCUAUAAGACGAGAAGACCCCAUGGAGCUUAAAGCCCACACAACUCUAUGCACUUAAAUCUAUACAGCCCAAGAAACCUGCAAACGGCUUUAGGUUGGGGGGACCGCGGAGUAAAACCUAACCUCCACGACAAACGGGCAUACGCCCUUAUCCAAGAAUGACAAUUCUAAGAAUCAAUAAACUGAUGUUUAAUGACCCGAUUAUUCGAUCAACGAACCAAGUUACCCUGGGGAUAACAGCGCAAUCUACUUCAAGAGCCCCUAUCAACAAGUAGGUUUACGACCUCGAUGUUGGAUCAGGGUAUCCUAGUGGUGCAGCCGCUACUAAAGGUUCGUUUGUUCAACGAUUAAAACCCUACGUGAUCUGAGUUCAGACCGGAGCAAUCCAGGUCGGUUUCUAUCUAUAAAGCGUUUUCCCUAGUACGAAAGGAUCGGGAUAACAUGGCCAAUAUUAAUAUAAGCCAUCAUCUUCUACUAAUGAAUAUCUCAAUUAACUAAGACCUAAUAUAAUACUAAAGAUUAUAGUUGUU